CAAUAGAUCGGAUAUGACACACCAAACUAAGGCCCUUGACACUGGAUAUUACACACCAGCAGACUGGAUAUUACACACCAGACACUUCAACAACUUGCCAAGCAAGAGAGAAGACAAAACAGAAGACAAAAGAGGUUUAAAACAAAAGAUAACUUAGCUUAGAAUAAGGGUUUUUGAAACACUUAAGUAGAGAGAUCCUUGUACAUGCACAAGGUCUCGAAAACAUAAAGAAACAUAAAUAAAAAGGCUCCACACGGUUUUGAAAUAAAGGCAUAACACAUAGACUAAAAAAAACAUAACAUAAGAUAGAUGAUGAAGUCGGUCCAAGUUGCCUAGGCCGAGAUGCAUCCAAGAUACAUCAUCUAGGAGAUGUGAAAGUGAACUUGUGGCCUCAUUAAAAACCUUGAUUGGAAAACCCAGGGGACAAAACCGAUCAAGGGAAAAAGAGUACACACAAGUCUCUUGCCAAGAUGAUGAUCAGCUUGAUGGUGAAGUAGCUUGAAUGGUGAUAAGUGUGUCUUGGUUAAUCAAGCUUCUACCAAGACAUUCUUUUUGAUUCCAAGCCUUCAUAAGCAAUCUUCCAAUGGUCUCAUUAAGGAACGAGUCAUAGGCCCAACUGGGAUGGCUAAGGCAUCCUCAUCAGCUGGAUUGUCUUUGAUCUCCUUGUCUUCAUCAGAUAGUUGUUCCAUGAUCACAUCACAAUCAGUCGGGGAAGGCAACGCCUAUCAUCCCGAAAUAUAAACGGAGAAAGCCUAACCUCUCACUCCGGAACAAUAAUAAAAUUUAAAUAAAUUAAAUAUAUUGAAAUAUAUAAAUUUAAACAUUACCUUGACUAUUGAUAAGCCUCAGUCGGUUAGAACCUCGUGCUAAUAACGUGUUGUGAAUAAUAAGUGAGGAACUGAUUUUACAUUUAUAUAUAUAUUUGUUUGGCGAUGGAGACAAGUGAGAGAUAUAAGAUGGGACCACUUUGUGUUUUAUUAUAUUUGGUGUUGUGUUUGUGUUGUACGAGAGAGAGUGAAAAACAAAUGUCUUUAUUGAUUUCAGAUUAUCUAUAACAAAGUGUCAUCACUCCUAUUUAUAGUUGGUACAAGUCGGUGAUUUUACGAACAUUAAAGGUAAGACAAAAUCUAUUAGAAUGACAUCUGGAUGAUGACUAAUACAUAACCUCCAAGAAUGAGACAAGUGCCCAAGAUGGAUAAUAAUCUUCUUUUGAUCUUUAUCUUCUAACAUUAUCAAAAUAUUAUUGAAUUAUAAUGAGAUUUCAAUAUAUGGUGAGAGUUUACACUUUACAUAAAAUGUUUAAAUUUUUACAUAAAAUAGUUACAAUCCAGGUAAAAUAUUUAACUGUAUUUAUUAUUUUAGAUUAUAUUCUAAAAUAUGUUGUAUUUUAAAAUAUUAAAAUAUAUAUUGACACAUGUAGCAAUCCAAACAAUUUUAUUUUUUAAAAAUCUUGUGAGAGACAUAUUGAACUUCAUACACUCUAAAUAUUUCUUUCUGUGACUAAUUUUAGAUAUUCUUGUAAAGAUUACUUAUAGUGUUUAAAUUUUAUUAGAACUAUGAAUGGUGAAAUAGUUACAAUUCAGGUAAAAUAUAAAACUUUUUUUAUUUAUUUAAUGUAUUUUAAAAUAUUAAAAAUACAAAAAUAUAUUUGACACAUGUUGCAAGCCAUAACGUUUUUAUCUUAACAGAGAUAUAUUGAACUUUAUAUAAUAAUCCGCCUGAUGUAAAUCAGAGUUGAUAAAAACUAGCCAACACAAAACACACGAAAAAUGUCGAGUAUGAUCAAAAUAAUAAUGGUGAUGACUUUGGUAGUAAUGGACGUGAGAGCAAAAACUGUGACUGAGUGUCAAGAAACUGUCUGCAAGUCCUUAUGUCAAAACAUAAAAAAUUUAGCUUGCACUAGUUGUGCCUUCGGAUGCGCUUCUCCUCCAUCAUUUCAGCAUUCUGACACAAGCAACCAGAACUCUCAAUCUAUAUUAUGGGUCAAUGAAGUAGACCAACGAGUCAUAUGUUACCGGAAUUGCGAUGUCGGAUGUGGCACCGAUAAUGCAUGCCAUGAACAUUGUAAGAAAAGUUGUGGUUACCCACCCUUGUUGAAUGAAGUAGACCAACGUAUCAUAUGUUACCGGAAUUGCGAUGUCGGUUGUGGCACCGACAAUGCAUGCCAUGAACGCUGUAAGAAAAGUUGCGCUUAUCCACCCGUGUUGAAUGUCCAUCUAUGACUUGCUGAGGGAUAAGAGUGCUCCUAAGUUGUGGAAUCGUUGCAAUAUUAACUUUAUUGCGAUCUAGUUGUUUGUUUCUUGAGUUUUUACUAUAAACAUAUUAAAUCUAAUAAAGAGAUUAUUAUCUUAACAUAAA